UACGUAGGGGGCUAGCGUUGUCCGGAUUUAUUGGGCGUAAAGAGCGUGUAGGCGGCUUUACAGGUCCGUUGUGAAAACUCGAGGCUCAACCUCGAGACGCCGGUGGAAACCGUAAGGCUAGAGUCCGGAAGAGGAGAGUGGAAUUCCUGGUGUAGCGGUGAAAUGCGCAGAUAUCAGGAGGAACACCCGUGGCGAAGGCGACUUCCUGGCCUGUUCUUGACGCUGAGGCGCGAAAGCUAGGGGAGCAAACGGG
rnacentral:rRNA from 1 species